ensembl:snRNA U6 U6 spliceosomal RNA
GUGCUCGUUUUGGCAGCGCAUGCACUAAUGAUGAAGAGAUUAGCAUGACCCCUGAGUGAGGAUGGCACACAGAUUCAUGACGCGUUCCAUGUUUUA